CUUUAAAAAUCUGGAUCAAGCUGAAAAUUGAAACGACACACUGUUUCAUUUCUCCGUAAUAAGAAAUGAAAAAUGGUGUGUUCGAGUCUCUCAAAUUUUUGCAAUCAGAAGUGAAACAUCUUCGG
rnacentral:sRNA from 1 species